CUGCAACUGUCUAUUCAUACUGCCGUCUAGUGUUUCAUUUUGAAAACAGUUCUCCAUUCUGUCGUAUCUGAAAAUCCAUAAGAACUGAGUGUCAUGUGCAUAUCUAUACAUAUCCGUGCCUUAAAUUCAUAAGGAGCAUCUUGGGGAUGACGUAGGUUGCGCGUGUCACUAAUCUAAAUUUCAUGGCCAAUACUACGGAACGAUUUGCAACUUGGUGGAUGCGUGCCAAAAAUUAUGCGACUGAUAUCCAUCGUCAUUCUCUUCUAAUGAAGUGCUUCAAGAGAAAUUUUGCUGAAGGGAGUUGCUACUAUUCUUCAUUUGUAAGAGAUUUAUUUACAUUAGUUAGUUAGAUAUUCUUCAAAUUUCAACAAUUUUUCUGCAAGCUUUGUUGUUAAGAUUUUCUUAAAAGUUUCAUGUGCAAUGUUGUCGCAUCAUGUUUUUAUUGCGGGGGAAGAACUGCGCCAGGUGCUAUUUGUCAAAGUCGCGUGAAAAUUUGAGGCAUUAGUGGUCCGGUACGUAAUCUACCAGGAAGGCCAGUUAUAGCUUCGCGUGCCAUCAGGAACGGAAAUCUGAAUUAACGACUCGAUUGCGAAAUCGCGCGCCUAUCCGUACGCGUAUCGGGAUCAAAGAUUUCUCGCCAUGAUUGCUUUACCAUUGCUUUACUUUUGUUACAUAAUAAACCUGAUAUGUGCGAAUUCUGAGAGAAGUCAUACAGCAUACCUUAAUAGUCAAAAGUAUAUAUACAUAAUAAAUUACUAUAUAUUAAUUUUAUUAAUUUAUUACUAUAUUAAACUGUUAAUUUAUUAUAUCAGAAAGAGAAGGAAAUUCUCCGCAAUAUUGUAUUUAAAAAAUAUAUAUAUCGUAUUUGAAAAACCUGUUCCGAGUAUCGUGAUUCGAGCAGGAAGUUGAUGAUUAAAAGAAUUCUUGCAUUAUCUUUCGUAUCGCAGCGUAUUUCAUGUUAUCUUUUUUAGCGUUACACAGAAUCUCGCUACCAAACAUACGAGAGACGAGCAGUCUAUGUUCGCUUCGCAUUACAUCACAUUUAUUAUUACAAUUAACUCAUAACACAAUGCGUCAUUGCAUCAUUUUCACGGAAUUUUUAUUGAAUCUCUCUCUCUCUCUCUCUCUCUCUCUCUCUCUCUCUACGUCUCUCUACGAAUCUCUCAUAAUGGAAUUGCACUCCAUUAGUGUAACAAACGCAAUUCCAAGUAAAACGCGAGCAUGAAUUAUGAUAUUUAGCAUUACUCCAUAUUGACAAGUUUUUUUUGUUUUAAGACACCAAUGUAAUAGAAAUGUGUGAAACAUUUCAGGUAAAACGGAAAAUUUUCGCGAAGAGGAAGGAAUUUGCUUCCAUAAAAAUGGUCUCUCAUCAAACGUGCUUAUCCGUUGCAACUACAAUUUGCAAAAACGCGAGAAUUUUACUUCGUAUAUACGUGUAAUUUUACUUUACAUAUUUUAAUUUAUACAAAAUUUUAAUACACAAUUAAUGCACAUUUCUAUCUACAAAAAAUGCCUAUACCAGUCGCACAUCUAUCGAAGAUAUCGCACGUUGAUUUUAAUUAACAACACGAGAGCGAAGAAGGUAUGGGUUGCGUCCACGAGGAAGGGAGAGCAGAUGAGCGUUCGCAAGCCUCUUCUGGUUUAUAGGUGUUUUCUCGUUGUGCACGUGGCCGAGAUACUCCCGUAUUUUAUGCGUUUUCAAGGAGAUUCUAAAUAAAGCAAAUGGAAUUCGCAUUAGGUCAGUUCUACCCUGCGCAGCCUGCCAGAUGGUGACAUUGCUCCGUAUGAUGAUGAUAAGUACGCGCGUCUACAUGCUUCAAAAGUUUGCAAACAAUACACGUUAUAUAGAAGCGACCGACAUCCGCAAUACUGUUGCGAUUAAUCGCACAUAAAAUCGCGAAAAACAAAAUUUAAGUGAACCAGGAAUUGAAAUUCAUCUUGAUCAAACGAUUAACAUGAUGCAACAGUUAUCUAAUUCUUCGCAUUUAAUAUCAAGCUGAUCACGAUUUGAUAUAAUGAAACAAUACUCUUCAUUUGCUCUUGUGGAAGCGCUCCCCUCGAGACUAAUUAUCAGCCACGCCAGCGUGGAAUAUAUAAUUACUUUCAAACGGCGCCGCUACGUCUGAUAUUUCUCUCACUACAGCGCGUCUCUCGAGGUUGCAGCGCGCCAACUAACAUAUAUGCGCAAAGGAGAUAAUAACAUUUUUUAGCACUCAAUUAGGCGAAGCUCUGCAUCCCUGCGAGCUUUGCGAAUAUUGUAGCAAUGACGCAAUGAUACGCUUGCAUUAAAAAAACGCAUCUCCAAGCUGUUCCUUUAACUAGACAUACUCUGCGUUUAAAGAAACAAACAUUUAUUCGCACUGAUAAGUUCAAUUAAUGCCCGUGGCACGUCUCGGUAUUGCGUAAUUUUUAUUACAGUAAUAUAACGAUGUCCCUCCCAAUUUCAUCAUUAUUUUAUCAUCGCUUUACAUUUGUACGCUGCCUGUGUGAUAUCGGUGAUUCGACUUAAACGCACCAUUACGCUUUGUCGUAUCAUAAGCUUUACUUUCAAUAUCCAUUUAUUUGUUUGUGGUAAAUAUCGAUCGUUUACCUCGAGUACCAAGUCAAUGAUGCUUCAAGGAAUCAUCGUGUAGUACUUAAGAUAAGCGGUUUGGAGUAAAGCUUCAAAGCCAUUUACAAGUAACAUAAUACUCAUCGAAAUAUUAUCUGGAUUUCGAAAUGUGAUUUAGCAGAAGUUUACAUUGCACGUUGAAGUAUUAAACGUUCCAGUCUCGAAGUCACGAAGUGAGUCAUGUAAGUUGUUACAUUCCCAAGGAAAAUCCGUACUGGCGAAUACAAGGGUGACUCCGAUGAGGACACACGUGCUCGAGGCGCGGAGGACUUGUGUAGAAAAUCGAUCGACACACCUAUGAUUAAAUAACAAAGGGGAUAAUCUCUUCAAUGAGGCCAAGUAUCAUUUCGUCCCUUGCUUAUCUUUCUCUCUCUCCCUCUCUCUCCUUCGACCAUGGUGGGCGCUAUUGCGAUCGAUUCCACGAACUUCUUCCUAUAAUUGGUGUCUCUACGAAGACAGCGAAGUUUUAUUUUAGUCUUUUUCCUCUAAACGGCCGCAACAGGUAACAAAUGGGCAUUUUGAAGAAGAAGGGAUCGCCAAUCGGCUCGACGGACAAUAAUGAGGUAAUCGAUUUUGAUCUAUUUCUCAUCAUGCAUAAAUCACCGUGUCCUUAAAAUAAAACUUCCAUUCUCGGCAGGAAAUUUGAUCGAGUCACGCGCGUUUUCACUGGUUCUUCGCAAAUAAUUAUUUCUCGCAUGUGCGCAACUGGCGAAUGCGAGCCUAGACAUCUCGGGAUUCAACAGCCACGAUCCAGUUAAAGCCAGUCGGAUCCAACCAGUCUGGCAGAUCACCUGAAACGUCAUGAGAUUCUAAAAAGUGCUCGUUAUCACUUGCCCGCACUUUGUACCAAGGAUAAAAAACCGAAUGCACCUAGGAUAAUCAACGAUUAUUACUAUAAGAUUGCGUAAGAAAAAAGAUCUGCAAUAUUUAGUCUUGAAGAAGCAGAAUUAGAUAACUCUUCAAUUCCUGCCUUUUCUUCUUAGAAGACAAUCCAACGCGCGAGGAAGAUAUGCCAGCAACCUAAUCUGUGCAAUUAUUAAUGCGGAAUGUUGCAAGGUAAGUUUCUGACUUUUCUUUUCUUGGACCAUGUUGUCUUUCGCCGUCUUUUGUUGAAGCUCUUUAAUGGAAAAGGGCGUGGUAGCUUCCGACGACAUACGUCAUAAGAAGUAUAUGGAAUGAGGCCAGACUGCUGCGAAGAAAAUGUUGUAACCGAUCAAUAGAGCAACACGUGGUUCAGACCCGCCGAUGUUUACCAUAGGGAUAAAAUACCUGAAGCCUAAUGAACUGAUUAAGACAAUUGCGAAGAAUAUUAUUUCUCAUUUUCUUCCUCUCGCUCCACAUACACACAUACGCGGUGAACACAUGACUUUACACAAGAACAGAUCUUAAUGAGAAAAUAAUAUUUCAAAGAUGACCAAAAAUCUGCUGCAAUGUAAAGGAGUUUGCCAAAAAAUAAUAUUUGUGGUGUACUCUUAGAGGUAUAUUUAGAUACUUACUGUGCAUAUUUAGAUAUUAACGCACAAAGUUGGUAAUGCAGCGUAAAUGCUGAUAUUAGCAAUUCCAUAAAUAGCGAAUGUGCUCUACCCAUUACCAUCUACUUUUACGUCGUAAACCCUUCCUCACAUCUGCAACAAGUGCCAGCUUGUAUUUAAAUGCUAAUUAUCGUAGCUAAAAAUAAUACUGCAUUUCCUUUUCAUUAU
rnacentral:lncRNA from 1 species